AUACGUAUGUCGCAAGCGUUAUCCGGAAUUAUUGGGCGUAAAGCGAGUCUAGGCGGCUUGUUAAGUCAGAUGUGAAAAUGCGGGGCUCAACUCCGUAUUGCGUUUGAAACUGGCAGGCUAGAGUACUGGAGAGGUGGGCGGAACUACAAGUGUAGAGGUGAAAUUCAUAGAUAUUUGUAGGAAUGCCGAUAGUGAAGACAGCUCACUGGACAGAUACUGACGCUAAAGCUCGAAAGCGUGGGGAGCGAACAGGAUUAGAUACCCGAGUAGUCC
rnacentral:rRNA from 1 species